rnacentral:rRNA from 1 species
UACGGGGGGGGCAAGCGUUGUUCGGAAUUACUGGGCGUAAAGGGCUCGUAGGUGGCCCCAUAAGUCAGACGUGAAAUCCCCCGGCUUAACCUGGGAACUGCGUCUGAUACUGGAAGGCUUGAGUGCGGGAGAGGGAUGUGGAAUUCCAGGUGUAGCGGUGAAAUGCGUAGAUAUCUGGAGGAACACCGGUGGCGAAGGCGGCAUCCUGGACCGACACUGACGCUGAGGCGCGAAAGCUAGGGUAGCAAACGGG